UUUACCAACGCAUGCCUCAUGCUUCCCUUUCUCACAGACCUCUUUAAUAUGCGACAGACACGGACAAUCACUGCGGCGUCAAAUCAGGGAUUCAUAUUAUCGUCUUCCGGUCUAAAAUUAUGGCAAGUGAUUGUCUUAAACUAAGCUUGUUGUGCUGCGGUUGUUUAAUUUCGAAAUUCAAAAUUCUUGCCUAAUCAUGGAUUAUCGAAGAGCUCUGAACUCAUUGUUUGAUAUCUGCUAAAGAGUUUAAUGUACCAUGGAUUCAACUACACACCUCGGUUAGCCCAAUUCUUAUGGCGCAGGUCGUAAAGAAAACAAAGAGAAUCAUGCGGCUCCUUCUCUGGCAUCAGAGAUCCUGCAGGCGAAAGGGCGCUUGAUUCAUUUCUACAAAAAUGUGCCGAGAACAUCAAGAAAUCUAGGACCAAUCCUCCAGGUUUUGCCAAUGUCGAAGGCUCUCUUAAAUAUAACGGAGGAUCCAGUCGGUCUCCGCUUUCUACUGUUGAUCAGAAUUCACCCUUUGCAUUUGUUAUGGGUACCACAACCAAAGGUAACAUUAUCUUCUCCGUGCUCUGUUUGGUCUAGAUCAUAAUUUUCGUAGUGCUUCCACAUCAAUAUGUCUGGUAUUCUAUGUACUUAACUAUGUACUUAACACAUCAAGUUUGUGUUCAAUCAUUUUUUGGACGUAUAUUGACUUCUAUUUUAUUGUUAAGCCUGUGUUAAAUCAUUUCUU